CUUGAAUCGCAUUGCUGGGCCCAGCGCUUCCGCCCACGCCAGCGGCUGAGGGCCCUGCGCAGCCUUAUCGCACUCGAGCGCUGGUCUAAAGGGCCCGGUGUGAGGCCUCUGCAUGUGGAACCCUGUGAGCAAGUGGCACUCCAUCUGGCUACACAUUCGUUCAGCCGGAAGAAGUGGCCUACAAGCAGCUGCCCCUGUUUUCUCCUUCCGGCUACAAGGUGAACGUCACAGCCUGGUCAAGUGGACACACGAAAGUAACCAUGCCAGCUGUCAUAGCCGACGUGAGAGAAAGUGCUGAGUGUCCCUGGCUGCUUCAUGGCGCUGCAGGAAGGCGGCCAGGAAACCUGGACCGACCCAGAGAGGAGACUCUGAUGUACACAGGGCAGAUCUCCCGACCCAGGCACCUCGUGUUCCUUCAAGCUGCCUCCAGCCUGGCCUCUUGUCUCCUGGAAGCCACUAGACAAGCCACCUCCCCCCGGGGUGGCUCUGGCGGGCCACUCCUCCCUCUGGACACCCACGAGCCUCCCUCCUGAGGCACCAUUAGGAACAGAGGCAGAGCUCAGGAUGAAGAUGGUCAUUCCUACCUCAAAGGUUUGUGACAGCAGAGUUCGGCACGUCGUACUCCCCCAACCAACAAUCAUCAGAAACGUAACUGUAACCAGAUUACCAGACUGCCGUCUCCUGGUCCACUGCUGCGUGUGUGAUCUCAGAUGACCCAUCCACCACUAAGAGCAUUUGGAAUGGUCAUUAUAAUUAUUCUUGAAAUGCUCUAAUGGCAGGACGUGGGAGCGCUCUUCAGAUCCAGUCAAUUUUAUUAAAAAUCCAGGCCACAGAGAAGAGGCUCCAUCAAACUUCUCAGGUUAUAUUUUAAAAGAGAAUGCUUAUCUUUUAGAGACAUAUAUUGAAAUAUUUCAGAUAAAAUGGCAUGAUGACAUAGAUUUGCUUCAAAAUAAUCCAGUGGAAAGGGGGCAAUUUGCGUGAAGGAACUAAUGAGACGAAAGUGGCCAGACCUUGAAGGCUGUUGUAGCUACAGGACGAACACGUGGGACUUUAAUUUGUAUUCUCGCGUCUUUGUGUCUGAAAUGUUUCAUAAUAGAAAGCACCUUUUAAAAGCUCUCCAAAGAACUUCAUGAGAAAGAUACUCUAAUUUCCUUCUCUUUCUCC
rnacentral:lncRNA from 9 species